UGCCCUCAGGUCUGGGACAGGGUCGGGAAACUGACCGUAAACCCGGAUAGGAUAUUACUACUGGAAUGUGUUUUAUCCCAAAGGUAACGCCUGAGGAUAAGUUGGCGGCUGACUAGGUUGUUGGUGAGGUAAUGGCUCACCAAGCCUUGGAUCAGUAGGGGGGAUGAGAGUCCUAGCCCCGAGAAGGGCACUGAGACACUGGCCCUAGCCCUAAGGGGUGCAGCAGGCGCGAAACCUUUACAAUGCACGAAAGUGUGAUAAGGGAACUCCAAGUGCUAUGUCUUAGGAUAUAGCUUUUAUCGAGUCUAAGGAUCUCGAAGAAUAAGUGGUGGGUAAGACGGGUGCCAGCCGCCGCGGUAACACCCGCGCCACUAGUGGUGACCAUGUUUAUUGGGUCUAAAGCGUUCGUAGCCGGAUUGUUAAGUCUUUUGUGAAAUUGUUGCGCUUAACGUAACAGCGUGCAAGAGAUACUGACAGUCUUGAGACUGGGAGGAGCUAGGAGUAUGCCAGGGGGAGCGGUAAAAUGUUAUAAUCCCUGGUAGACUACCGGUGGCGAAGGCGCCUAGCUAGAACAGGUCUGACGGUGAGGGACGAAGGCCAGGGGAGCAAAACGGAUUAGAUACCCGAGUAGUCCUGGCAGUAAACGCUGCGUGCUAUGUGUUGCAUGUCCUUUGAGGGCAUGCAGUGCCUAAGCGAAGGUGUUAAGCACGCCACCUGGGAAGUACGGCCGCAAGACUGAAACUUAAAGGAAUUGGCGGGGGCUCACUACAAGAGGUGAAGAGUGCGGUUCAAUUGGAUUACACACCGGAAACCUCACCAGGAGCGACGGCAGAAUGAAGGUCAGAUUGAAGGUUUUACCUGACAGGCCAAGAGGUGGUGCAUGGCCGACGCCAGCUCGUGCCGUGAGGUGUCACGUUAAGUCGUGCAACGAGCAAGACCCAUAUCCACUUUUGCCAGCGAAUCCUCCGGGAUGUCGGGUACUAUGUGGAGACUGCCUGCGUAAGCAGGAGGAAGGUGUGGGCAACGUUAGGUCAGUAUGCCCCGAAUCUCCUGGGCUACACGCGCUCUGCAAUGGUAGAGACAAUGGGAUGCAACUCCGAAAGGAGGAGCAAAUCCUCGAAACUCUAUCUUAGUUCGGAUUGUGGGCUGCAACUCGCCCACAUGAAGUUGGAAUCUCUAGUAAUCGGGUCUCAUUAGGGCCCGGUGAAUACGUCCCUGAGCCUUGCACACACUGCCCGUCAAACCAACCGAGCAGGGUUCAGAUGAGGUCUAGGUUUUUGCCUAGCUCGAAUCUGGGUUCAGUAAGGUGGGUUAAGUCGUCACAAGGUA
rnacentral:rRNA from 1 species